rnacentral:lncRNA from 10 species
UCUAAAGAUGAUGCAGGAGCCAGAACUAGGGGCUGGAUAAUGGAGAAGCUUGCAUGCUAAACUUAUUACGAACUUUAUUUUGAAAGUAGUGGAACGUUAUUGGACCACUUCAAAAGCGGAGUGUUACGUUCAGGCUUGAAUUUUAGAAAUAUCUGUCUGGUAGCCAUGUGCAGGUUGGUUGGAAAGGGAGGCAUCAGACAGGAGACGAAUGAGAAAGCUGUUGCAGUCAUCUGGGUGAGAAACCAACGAGGGCCUGAAUAAGAUGGCGGCUGGAGACUAGCGCUGGAGAGGGGGAGCCUUCCAUAUCCGGCCACUUCUCUCCACAGCCGCCAUUUUGGCAGAAGCCUAAGCCUUGCUCAUCCCUUACUUAGGCUACAUUUUCAAAAGUCAGAAAAAACUUUUUCCUGAAGAAGGGGUUUCUGAGACAAGACCCCUAUUUGUGACCAAUUGUAAGAUCAUCUGAAGAUCGAGUCCGAUUGCCUGGCCAGGCCGGGCUGGGUGGUAUGUGCCCCCGUCACGCCGGAGGUUCCUGCUUUAGCGACGCCAAAGAUUGGGUGUGAGGGCAGCCCGCGGUGACAGAGACACGGAUCGGACCGAGAGAAAAAGGCUGUGGGCUUCACUGAGCAGAGUGACGAAUUUCAACCCUUCUUGCUACAUUCAAGACAUAGAAAUCCAGCCAGAAGACAACUCGAGAUAUUUUGUGGAUCUAUGCCUUUCCUUCAGAAAAGCAAAUAUCUACCAUAAAAAAACACUGGUCCAAUAUUCACUUCUAUAAGAAAUGCAGGGGCAAAUAAAUUAUGGAUUUUAUUAUCGCUAAUAGAGUCACUUAACCAUUACUCCUUACUACAUUCUGCUUUUCUAACAAAAUUUCGACUGAAUAUUCUCCCUCAGAGCCUCCAAAAGGAACCAACUGAUGACAACUGAUUUUGGACUUCUGGCCUCCUGAACUAUAACAAAAUAAACAUCUGUUGUUUUAAGCAAGCCAGGUUGUGAUUGUUACAGAAGCUCUAGGAAACUAAAAUACUUAAUAUCUAAGUAUCUUAAAACUAAGAUACCUUCUUAUACCUUCUUAUCAUGCGAUCAUAGAAAAUAUGUCCAAUUAGUCACAAGUGGGAUUGGGCAAGAGAAGAUGGAUAAGGGGUGUAAAUCCUUCACCACAAUUAAGAAAUUAUACGUAGAAAUUGCAUUCUAUUGGUGAAGCAAUAAAAUCAUUGUUGGGAAUAAGAACAGCAUUACAGUGUGGUGGCUCAAACCUGUACUCCCAGCAAUUUGGGAGGCUGAGGCAGGCGAUUCA